rnacentral:rRNA from 1 species
GGAGUCUGGGCCGUGUCUCAGUCCCAAUGUGGCCGGUCAUCCUCUCAGAUCGGCUACCGAUCGUCGCCUUGGUGAGCCGUUACCUCCCCAACCAGCUAAUCGGACGCAGACCCAUCGUAAAGCGAUAGCUUAUUAAUAGAGGCCAUCUUUAACAUUACCUUCAUGCGAAAAUACUGCAACAUUUGGUAUUAGCAGCUCUUUCGAGCUGUUGUCCCAAUCUUUACGGCAGGUUGUCUACGCGUUACUCACCCGUUUGCCACUAGACUUUUUGGAGCAAGCUCCAAAAAGUCCCGUUCGACUUGCAUGUGUUAAGCACGCCGCCAGCGUCGUCCUGAGCCACGGAGUCAAACUACU